rnacentral:rRNA from 1 species
UUCCAGACUCCUACGGGAGGCAGCAGUAGGGAAUUUUGCGCAAUGGGGGAAACCCUGACGCAGCAACACCGCGUGAAUGUUAAGCCCUUCGGGGUGUAAAGUUCUGUCAAUAGGGACGAAUUUUGACUGUACCUAUAAAGGAAGCACCGGCUAACUCCGUGCCAGCAGCCGCGGUAAUACGGAGGAUGCGAGCGUUAUCCGGAUUUAUUGGGUUUAAAGGGUGCGCAGGCGGUCUGUUAAGUCAGCGGUCAAAGCCCGGGGCUCAACCCCGGUCCGCCGUUGAAACUGGCAGUCUCGAGUUGGAGAGAAGUAUGCGGAAUGCGCGGUGUAGCGGUGAAAUGCAUAGAUAUCGCGCAGAACUCCGAUUGCGAAGGCAGCAUGCCGGCUCCACACUGACGCUGAGGCACGAAAGCGUGGGUAUCGAACAGGAUUAGAUACCCCAGUA